CCUACGGGAGGCUGCAGUGGGGAAUAUUGCACAAUGGGGGAAACCCUGAUGCAGCGACGCCGCGUGAGUGAAGAAGUAAUUCGUUAUGUAAAGCUCUAUCAGCAGGGAAGAAAAUGACGGUACCUGAGUAAGAAGCACCGGCUAACUACGUGCCAGCAGCCGCGGUAAUAAGUAGGGGGCAGCGGUAAUCCGGAUUUAAUGGGGGUAAUGGGGACGUAGUCGGCAUUGCAAGUCUGGAGUGAAAGGCGGGGGCUCAACCCCCGGACUGCUCUGGAAACUGUACGGCUGGAGUGAAGGAGAGGUAAGUGGAAUUCCUGGUGUAGCGGUGAAAUGCGUAGAUAUUAGGAGGAACACCAGUGGCGAAGGCGGCUUACUGGACUGUAACUGACGUUGAGGCUCGAAAGCGUGGGGAGCAAACAGGAUUAGAUACCCCAGUAGUC
rnacentral:rRNA from 1 species